rnacentral:rRNA from 1 species
UACGUAGGUGGCAAGCGUUGUCCGGAUUUACUGGGCGUAAAGAGCGCGCAGGCGGCCGAGUAAGUCGAAUGUGAAAGCCCCCGGCUCAACUGAGGAAUUGUCUUCGAUACUGUUCGGCUUGAGUCCUGGAGAGGGUAGCGGAAUUCCCGGUGUAGCGGUGAAAUGCGUAGAGACCGGGAAGAACACCAGUGGCGAAGGCGGCUACCUGGACAGGUACUGACGCUGAAGCGCGAAAGCUAGGGGAGCAAACAGG